rnacentral:rRNA from 1 species
GGAUAACCUACCCUUAGGACUGGGAUAACCCUGGGAAACUGGGGCUAAUACCGGAUAGGCAAUUAUUCCUGCAAUGGUUUUUUGUUUAAAUGUUUUUUCGCCUAAGGAUGGGUCUGCGGCCGAUUAGGUAGUUGGUUAGGUAAUGGCUUACCAAGCCGUUGAUCGGUACGGGUUGUGAGAGCAAGAGCCCGGAGAUGGAACCUGAGACAAGGUUCCAGGCCCUACGGGGUGCAGCAGGCGCGAAACCUCCGCAAUGUGAGAAAUCGCGACGGGGGGAUCCCAAGUGCCAUUCUUAACGGGAUGGCUUUUCAUUAGUGUAAAGAGCUUUUGGAAUAAGAGCUGGGCAAGACCGGUGCCAGCCGCCGCGGUAACACCGGCAGCUCUAGUGGUAACAAUUUUUAUUGGGCCUAAAGCGUCCGUAGCCGGUUUAAUAAGUCUCUGGUGAAAUCCUGUAGCUUAACUGUGGGAAUUGCUGGAGAUACUAUUAGACUUGAGACCGGGAGAGGUUAGAGGUACUCCCAGGGUAGAGGUGAACUUCUGUAAUCCUGGGAGGACCGCCUGUUGCGAAGGCGUCUAACUGGAACGGUUCUGACGGUGAGGGACGAAAGUUAGGGGCGCGAACCGGAUUAGAUACCCGGGUAGUCCUAACUGUAAACGAUGCGGACUUGGUGUUGGGGUGGCUUUGAGCUGCUCCAGUGCCGAAGGGAAGCUGUUAAGUCCGCCGCCUGGGAAGUACGUCGCAAGACUGAAACUUAA